rnacentral:rRNA from 1 species
AACGAACGCUGGCGGCAUGCCUAUCACAUGCAAGUCGAACGAGACCUUCGGGUCUAGUGGCGCACGGGUGCGUAACGCGUGGGAACCUGCCCUUAGGUUCGGAAUAACUCCCCGAAAGGGGUGCUAAUACCGGAUAAUGUCUUCGGACCAAAGAUUUAUCGCCUUUGGAUGGGCCCGCGUUGGAUUAGCUAGUUGGUAGGGUAAAAGCCUACCAAGGCGACGAUCCAUAGCUGGUCUGAGAGGAUGAUCAGCCACACUGGGACUGAGACACGGCCCAGACUCCUACGGGAGGCAGCAGUGGGGAAUAUUGGACAAUGGGCGAAAGCCUGAUCCAGCAAUGCCGCGUGAGUGAUGAAGGCCUUAGGGUUGUAAAGCUCUUUUACCCGGGAUGAUAAUGACAGUACCGGGAGAAUAAGCUCCGGCUAACUCCGUG